UUCUGAAAAGUUCCACAUGACAAUGCUAUGAUGUUGAUGCAUGCUGUGCUUCAGCUAAGACAUAUGAUUGGCAGGAUGCAUGACUUGCUUGAAUCCAGGGCAUGUUUCACCAGGUUCAUGUCUACUUUAGGUGGAUCCCAUCAUUGUGAACAUCAGCUGAGUAUAGCAGAUGCCACAUGAUGACGACAUCUGACUUAGCUGCAAACACAAGCAAAAUUAUAGAAGAACUGUGUAUAUCCUGCCCAGCUGAUUGUGGUAAAAUGUAAUGACUGCUUGCCAAUUGCACAUCCCAGUAAUAAGCUAAGUAUUUUUCAAUGAUCGUAUUAUCUACCUCCUAGGAAGAUUCUAACAACUUCUGCAGGAUAUGUCACAUGUUCAGUCCAUAUUUUUCAAGCCACAGAUCCACUAAGAACAGAAGUAUUCACGUUCUACCUUUAUCCUCAGUCUCAAGCUGCAAUUCACCCCUCAAAUGUCCAAUUACAGAAUCCCCUAGUACAGGACAGAAAUUCCACAAAUCUGCUUACACUAAUAAUUCUUUACCCUGAACAAACAAGAUCUGGUCCCUGCAAAAAAGCUGCUACAAACCCCAUUGGUUUAAAAGAAAAAAAAAUGAAGGAGAUGGAUUGGAUAAGAUGAUGAUAAGAUAAUAAGAUAAUUACAUGCCCAAGAGAUGCUAUUAAAUUGAUAACCUAUAUCCUAUCUUAAUAAAUACUUUUUUCCCACAUUAAGGGGUUUUAUACAUUUUUAGAGCCUUUUAAUUACACUGUUGUUCAUGCUAGUGAUUAUCACAGUGCACAGGUGUUUUAUAAAUACAAAUCACCAUUAAACCUCUUAUAUUUUACAGCCCAAUCCUUAAAAGCAGUCUGCCAGCGUAAGUCCCCAUUCCAUUCAGCCACAUAUGUGUGAGCAGAUCGCUUUGCCAUCGAGCUGUAAGUUAUUUUUCCCUAGGGGCCUUCUGCAUUAGAAGCAUAGCCUUGGCCAAACUGAUUUUCCAAUUUUCACAUUACAAAGUAAUGGGAGGCAAAAUGAAAGCUUUCAUUUUGCUUCCCCUAUAAAUGUGGGCUACACUGUUUCACAAUUGACUAUAAGCAGGUAUUCCUGUAAUACAGCUUCCACCAAGAUGGCUUGACUUCUUUCCUGUGUCAACAGCCAUUCAUGGUCCCAGGACAACAUCUCCGACAUUCGCUGAAUUCAUCUGGUUAAAGCAAUG